GACAAACGCUGGCGGCAUGCCUAACACAUGCAAGUCGAACGGACAGAACAGGGACGCUUUUCGGAGUGGAACUGGACAGAUAGUGGCGGAUGGGUGAGUAACGCGUGGACAAACUAGCUUGUAAAGUGGAAUAACCUCGAGAAAUCGAAGCUAAUACCCCAUAAUAACCUUGCUUCGCAUGAAGUAAGGAGGAAAGGCGGCCUUAGCGCUGUAGAUACGAUAUGGGUCCGCGUGUGAUUAGCUAGGUGGUGAGGUAAAGGCUCACCAAGGCCGCGAUCAGUAGCCGGCCUUGGAGGGGGAACGGCCACAUUGGGGCCUAGACACGGCCCAAACUCCUGAGGGAGGCAGCAGUGGGGAAUCUUUCGCAAUGGGCGGAAGCCUGACGGAGCAAUGGCGGGGGAGGGAAAGAGGCCUUCGGGUUGUAAAACUCUGGCCGUAUCGAAGAGAGAGUUUUGUAGGAAUUGACAAUCGUAGGACGGUAGAUGAGGAGGAAGCCCCGGCUAACUAUGUG
rnacentral:rRNA from 1 species